UGUGGCAGCCAACUACCAACAAAAAAGCAACAACAGGAUCAGAAAAUGUCUCCACAAGUUUCAAGGUGUUGUUCAAGGCCAUAUGAUGUGAUGUCAAGGGGAUUCGGAACAGGCUGGCAAUGACACCUUCUUCAACAAAACAGUGACCAGAGGGAUUGGCUCAAUCUUCCUUGUUCUGACUGAAUAAAGAACCUUCUACCAAAAGCUCCCAGGGCUAUGCACCAGACCAGACUUGAGCUUUUCCCACUUGUUCCUGGAAGGGAGAUCUGCCAGCAGUGGGGCUGCCCGCAGGAGAGGGCACGAAACAGGGACACCCAGCCCCUGCCCUGCAGCAGCCUGCCCGUGAGCUCUGAAAAGAGACGCUGCGGAGACUUUUAUUUAAGAACAUGGACCAGCCCCUCUGAAGUCAAACGUCUGUUUAAGUCUGCAGGAGACAAGUAAAAUAUGAAGAGCCAGCAAGAAAAACAGAAUGAAAUAUGUGCAAGCCAAGAGCUUGUUUUCCUCCCCAGCCGUCCCCCCCUGCCUGUCACUCAGAUCUCUGACCUAUGCAUCAUCUUGGACUCUGACAUCUCUAUCUGGGUUUUUAUAUUGAGACUAUGUUUAAAUCUUGCCAAGUCUUUCUGACCACCAUCUAUCACAGACUGAUUUGUCUAUCCGCAUGGCUACAAUUUCUCCUCGGGCUUUUACCUUGCAUCUCAACGACUGUGAGAGCUCUUCCUGCAGCUUUACAAGUGCCGCUGGCCAAAACACAGCUGCACAAGUCACGGAUGCCUGCGCAGUGCUUGGACCAUUUCCUCCUCCAUCACAUCACGCCUGAGCUGCUUGUCCUCCCUGGGACGGCUCCUCGUGGCACGCUGCGGCCUCAGCACCUUGCUGGGAUUUCAUCCUUUCCCCAGAAUAGGCAACGGUGCAGCCCCAGUGCUUGUUAACCUUCUUUUAUGUCAC